AUGCUCGGUCUCAGAGCCACCAGGGCCGCGCGCCUCCCGUGCCCCUACCCCUCCCCCUGCUCCCCCGCCUCCCUCUCCGGGCUCGCGCGCCGCGCCCCGCUCCUCGCCGUCGCCAGCCCCGCGCCGUCGCCGCCCGCCGCCCUCUCGCUCCUCGCGUCCGCGCGGCCCAUCUCCGCGGCGUGGGGCUCGGCCAUGCGGCCCGCCGGCGAACAACCCCGGCCCAGCACCAGGGUUCUCUGCACCGCUGCCAGUGGUAGUGUUCCGAGAGAGGGGAAGGAGGUGCUGGUCCAGCAUCUGCUUGUCGGCGAAAAGGACGCCAGGCUUCUCGUCGAUCUGGAGAAGAGCAUCGCAUCAGGGGCAGACCUGAGUGACUUAGCCGUGGAGCACUCCUUAUGUCCAUCAAAAGAAGAUGGCGGUAUGCUUGGAUGGGUUCGGAGGGGACAGAUGGUACCAGAGUUUGAAGAAGCAGCAUUUAGUGCACCUUUGAAUAAAGUUGUGCGGUGUAAGACAAAAUUUGGAUGGCAUUUAGUGCAGGUGCUCUCUGAGAGGGACCAAUGCUUGCUGCAAGAUAUUCAACCAGAAGAGCUUCACGCAAAAAUGCAAGAUCCUAGUUUUAUUGAAGAAGCUCAAUUGAUUGAUGUUCGGGAGCCUGAUGAAGUGGAGAGAGCAUCCCUUCCAGGCUUCAAGGUUCUACCUCUCCGCCAAUUUGGAACCUGGGGACCAGUGAUGACAGAUGAAUUCAAUCCUCAAAAGGACACUUAUGUUCUGUGUCACCAUGGCAUGCGCUCGAUGCAGGUAGCCAAGUGGCUGCAGUCACAGGGAUUCCAAAAGAUUUACAACGUUGCGGGCGGAAUCCACGCGUACUCGGUGAAAGCUGAUUCUUCCAUCCCGACUUACUAG
rnacentral:rRNA from 1 species